AUCUAGUUAUAAUUUGUCACUGAGAAGCAUUUAAGAAAUAAAACAAAAUGUCAACCAGGAAAACAACGGAAAAAAAGAAAGAAAUUAAGUCAGUUCAACAAACAGAAAAGAGGUUGUCAGGUUUUUUUGCAACUCCUAUUAAAGAUCCUAUUAAAGAUCCGCAGGAACAGAUAAUUGAUAGUAAGACACACCCAAGUAAUACUUCCAAUAUUAUCCAAGAAGUUGCACUUAAUCAAUUUCCAUCAGAAGCUCAAGCAAUUGCUUCAAUUAGUAUCCAAGAUCAAUUUAAGCAAACGCUGGAACUACAAUUAAAUUUAUUGAAACAAG